rnacentral:rRNA from 1 species
UACGUAGGGGGCAAGCGUUGUCCGGAAUCAUUGGGCGUAAAGCGCGUGUAGGCGGCUGGGUAAGUCCGCUCUGAAAGCCCGGGGCUCAACCCCGGGAGGCGGGUGGAUACUGCUCAGCUCGAGUCCGGAAGAGGAGUGUGGAAUUCCUGGUGUAGCGGUGAAAUGCGUAGAUAUUGGGAGGAACACCGGUGGCGAAGGCGGCCCUCUGGACCGGUACUGACGCUGAUGCGCGAAAGCGUGGGGAGCAAACGGG